GCCUGUGUGGCUCAGUGGUUGAGCGUCUGCCUUCAGCUCAGGUUGUGAUCCCAGGGUCCUGGGAUCAAGUCCCACAUCGGGCU
rnacentral:tRNA from 1 species